UCAUAUAUAGCUGAGUUGGUUAGAGUGUGGUACUGAUAAUGCCAAGGUUGCAGGUUCGAUUCCGCAAAUGGGAU